GUGCUUAACACAUGCAAGUCGAGUGCGCGUGCCGUAGCAAUACGGUAUGGCGCACGGCGCACGGGUGCGUAACACGUGGGCAAUCUGCCCUCCGGUGGGGAAUAACUCCGCGAAAGCGGGGCUAAUUCCGCAUAACAUUCUCUGGACCCUGGUUCGGGGAUUCAAAGCAGCAAUGCGCCGGAGGAGGAGCCCGCGCCCGAUUAGCUAGUUGGUGAGGUAACGGCUCACCAAGGCAAUGAUCGGUAGCUGGUCUGAGAGGAUGGCCAGCCACACUGGAACUGAGACACGGUCCAG
rnacentral:rRNA from 1 species